AGGGGUAUAGCUCAGUUGGCUAGAGCACUGGUCUCCAAAACCAGGUGUCGCAGGUUCGAGUCCUGCUACCCCUGCCA
rnacentral:tRNA from 1 species